rnacentral:rRNA from 1 species
GACGAACCGUGCGAACGUUGUUCGGAAUCACUGGGCUUAAAGGGCGCGUAGGCGGGCUGCCAAGUCUGGGGUGAAAUCCUCCGGCUCAACCGGAGAACGGCCUCGGAUACUGGCGGUCUCGAGGGAGGUAGGGGCGUGCGGAAUUAAGGGUGGAGCGGUGAAAUGCGUUGAUAUCCUUAGGAACUCCGGUGGCGAAGGCGGCACGCUGGACCUCUUCUGACGCUGAGGCGCGAAAGCCAGGGGAGCAAACGGG